rnacentral:rRNA from 1 species
GAGGGCGCAUGCCCUUUCCGCCAAGGAGGCGACUCCGGUGCCGGCUGGGCACGCGUGACAUUAGCUAGUUGGCGGGGCGACGGCCCACCAAGGCGACGAUGUCUAGGGGUUCUGAGAGGAAGGUCCCCCACACUGGUACUGAGACACGGACCAGACUCCUACGGAAGGCAGCAG